UGAGAACUCAAAGGAGAAGCAUUUACGCACAGGUCCUACACUCAGCUGGGGCGGAAACAAUCUGCGGCUGCAGGUUUGCCACCGGCGGCAUAAAAGGGGACACACGCAGCACUGAGGAGGAACUGAGAAUGAAUGACCGCGUUCAAAGAGUGACCGUGAGUUUCUGUUGGGAAAGCAUCAAGAUCUGCGGCAAACUGUGCAGGAUUGCUUUCAUCUCCAAAAUCCGGGUUGCAGCCGGAAGAGGAGAGUCUGACGGAGGAGCAGAGGAAUGUUGGCAGCCAUUUAGUCUGAGCUCAACAACGGAGGAAACAUGGAUUCUUCACAAAAAAAAUGUAAACACAACGAUGGAGUGGGAUGUGGGACCUCUGAGGACGAUAAAGAUGGUUCAGCAACAACAGCAAAAAGAGAUGAAUCACUCAGUUGUGAGCAGUGUGGCAAGACUUUUAUCACAGCAACAAAGCUAAGAAUUCACAAACGUAUUCACACUGUGGAGAAACCAUUCGGCUGUGGCAGUGGAAUGAAAUUUAUUGGAUAUUUUAAACUUUUUUAACCCUUUAAGGCCCCACGUAGCGCCGGCGCUACGUUUUGCAUAUUGAUUUUUGAUUGGCUGUCGAUUUGAAACCAGAUAAGAUAGAUCAAUAAUUCUUUUUGCAUAUAAAAUCUGGGGAGUCAGUCUAUCAUUUCACAUAUUUACCAGGUCUCAGAGUGUUUUCUCGUUGCAGUGAUGGGUUUGUAAAAAUACACAAUAAAGCGCACACGGCGUAAAUCUAUAUAAACAGAGACCGCGGGUUUUUGCAGGGCUUCUCAGUUGAAAUAAACGUGAUCACGGUGUGGCCACAACCUGUCACAUGAUUCUUACGUGUCCAUACCUGAGAGGCUCCCGUCCCCAAUAACAGGAAGUGACGUGUUUGCCGGGAAUUGUAGUUUUUCCGCCAAACCCGAAAAACAGCCUGCACAGGGGUGCACUCUCUCCCUCGGUUUCACCCCUACUUUAUUUUACAAAAACACUCAGACACACAGCCCACACACACCAGACAUCCAUCAAACACACCUUUGACCCACUAUCACACAGUUAUGGAGCCACAAAAACUUGGUUGCGCCAAAUUAUUUUACAUCUGCCGCGUAGUUCUCCAUCAACUUACAGCGUUGGAUGAAGCAUCCAGCCACCCAUCUGGCCUCAAUUCUGUCACCAGCGCGGAUGCAGCCAACCGUAUCGAAGGAAUUGAUCAUUCCAAUGACAUGUAAGUAUAUAUUCAUGAGAAGUUGCUUGUUUUGAGUUGGAAAAAAGUAAAAAAAAAAAAAAAAAAAAACGUGAUAUACAUGUAACGCCGCCGAAAGCAUACUGCGCAAAAUACGCAUCAUUUUUACAAGUCAUGCGCUGCAAACAUCUAACGUAACGCAAAACUUUUUCUGUGUGCAGUGUUGACAAUGUUGGAAAGAAGUAUUAGGAGGACGAGGAGGAGGAAGAGGAGAGAAUGGAGGUCUCCUGCUCUCCUGGUACCCGAGCGAGAGCCAGAGGGAGAGGCAGAGCCCUGGCUCCAGCCAGGAGAGGUUGCAGCAGCCGCUCCACCAGCGAGCGCUCUUGGCCAGAGGCACUUCCUACAGAUGGCUGGAAAACUGAGAAGGACCCUGACAGCUUACCUUCUCUGCCACAUUUCCUGCCUAAAAGGAGGCCAGAUGUCCAGCCACCUCUGUUAGAAUAUGUGGACAACCCUUCUCCAUCAAACUGUCCAAGUACUUGGACCAGGCAGCCCUCAAAACACUGUUUCUGAUUGAACUCAGUAAAAAAGAUUUUCUUUUAUUUUCAAAUGCACUCUUUAUGGUCUUAUCAUGGUUUUGUACAUAAAAUAUAUGUGUUCAUAAGUAUCUGGCACAAUUAGAAAUUUGAUUGCACUAUUUUAAACAGUUUCUUUUGAUACCAAUGUUGUGUCUUUGCAAAUUUUGCAUUGUUCUUUAUUUUCGGGGGAUUUUCAGUUUACAAAAUUGACCAUAUCUCAAAAAGCAAGUGAUGUACAGACUCCAAAUAAAUUUCCUGUGGUUCUAAAGGAUA